UUUGGAUGUCGGUGACCAUGGAAAGGUAUCUCCAGUACCCUCCCCGAGGGUAGCAGAAAUCAUUACUCGGAGUCACAAUGAAGAGUCUGGGUUACAGAUUACCUCAGAUGAGUCGGCAGAAGGUAUUCCAUCACCGUCAACAAGAGCUACAAGAGCUGCUGAAGCUGGAAGUCUACAGCGGAGUCAAACAAUAGGCCAAAGAA
rnacentral:misc_RNA from 1 species